rnacentral:rRNA from 1 species
CCCUUAGACGUUCUGGGCCGCACGCGCGCUACACUGACCGGUGCAACAAGCAUCCGUCCUUGGCCGACAGGCCCGGGCAAUCUUUGAACGCCGGUCGUGAUGGGGAUAGACUUUUGCAAUUUUUGGUCUUCAACGAGGAAUUCCUAGUAAACGCAAGUCAUCAGCUUGCAUUGAUUACGUCCCUGCCCUUUGUACACACCGCCCGUCGCACCUACCGAUUGAAUGGUCCGGUGAAAUCUCGGGACGGCGGCUUGGUCGCUUGCGUCCGACUGCUGAAACUUGAUUAAACCAUAUCAUUUAGAGGAAGGUGAAGUCGUAACA